rnacentral:snRNA from 1 species
GUGCUCGCUUGGCAGCACAUAUACUAAAAUUGGAAUGAUACGGAAAGGAUUAGCAUGGCCCCUGCACAAGGAUGAAACGCAAAUUUGUGAAGGGUUCCGUAUUAAA